AACAUCUCCCGUGAUGCAGGAAAGAUCCUGACGAUGAGGGCUCACGUGCCUGCCACUUGGUCUCCCAAUUUCAUAGUUCAGUGUAUUAGAAAAUAGGAAAAGGAUUUGUAAAGAGAAGGAAAUAGUUUAAAACACCUCACAGCUCUUUAUGGUUGAGCAGGCCUGGGUCCGGGCUUGCAGCAGACGUGGGAGUGUGAAGUACGUGCAGAGACGUACGCCGCAGAUGCCUUUAUUUUAGGCGAUGCUGCACAGGGAUGUGCACCCGUAUGUCGGGGUGCGCGUGCAUGUCGGCAGGCAGGGCUGGCAUCUGCCCCUUUCGAGAGCGACACGGUAUGGGCAUGCGUUGGUGUGAUCGCACAGGGCUGGGCAUCGCCCAGGUGGGAAGGGGCUGCCCGCUCCCGGCUGCAGACCGCGCCGCUGCCCUGUGCAGCCUGCCUGGCUGCAGCCAAGCGUCUGUCUUUCCUGCACCUUUCAUUUGUGGACCUCCAAGUGCUUUGGAAGCAUUAAUGAAUGGGCACUCGCGGCAGCGCUGUAAGGCCCGGCGAGGCGAGGUGGCUAACGCUGGGCUCCAAGAGCGGCCGGUGGAAGGGGCAAGAACAACGCCACAGACUACUCCCAUGGCAAUGCAGGAGCAACGCUCCUGCUGGAGCUCAGGGACGCCCGACUGAGAGGCAGGAAGAUUCUGCCCGGCAUUAUGGGGCCGAGCCAGGCGACGGGAGCUGCAGUCUCGCGAGUGAAGCCCAGGAGAGCCCUGCGGGCCGGGGCGCUCCGAAGCCCGGUCCUGCCCCCACGCACGGAUCCAGCUCCAGCCCGAGCCCGGCGCUGCCUACCCAGACGGUGCUGCCAUAAAUAGAGGGCUCCACAAGCCAUUCAUCUCUAUAUAAAAAUACGUAUGCUCUGUAUAAG
rnacentral:lncRNA from 1 species